GUAGGGAAUAUUGGACAAUGGGGGCAACCCUGAUCCAGCGACGCCGCGUGAGUGAUGAAGGCCUUCGGGUCGUAAAGCUCUGUUGCAGGGGAAGAACACAAUGACGGUACCCUGCUAGAAAGGAUCGGCUAACUUCGUGCCAGCAGCCGCGGUAAGACGAGGGAUCCUAGCGUUGUUCGGAAUUAUUGGGCGUAAAGCGGGUGCAGGUGGCUUGGUAAGUCAGAUGUGAAAGCCUGGGGCUUAACCCCAGAAGUGCAUUUGAUACUGCUGAGCUUGAGUGCUGGAGAGGCUAUUAGAAUUCCUGGUGUAGUGGUGAAAUACGUAGAUAUCAGGAGGAAUACCGGAGGCGAAGGCGGAUAGCUGGCCAGACACUGACACUCAGACCCGAAAGCGUGGGGAGCAAACAGGAUUAGAUACCCGGGUAGUCC
rnacentral:rRNA from 1 species